GCGUGUCGAGGUGAUGAAAGGCCUUUCUGGUUGUAACCUCUAUGUAGCAGGGAAGAAGGGAAAGUGACUGGUACGUGCAGAAACAAGCGCCGGCUAACUACGUACAGCAAGCGCGGUAAUAAGUAGGGUAGCAAGCGAUGAUCUAGUAAUUAUUGAGUCGUAAAGAAGAUCGUAGGCGGUUUGUCGCGUAUGUUGUGAAAUCCAGAGGCUCAACCUCCCGGCGUGCAGUGGGUACGAGCAGAGUAGAGUGCGGUAGGAGAGAUUAGAAAUUCAUGGCGUAGCGGUGGAAUGAACAGAUAUCAGGAUGAACAACCAUCGCGAAGGCAGAUGUCUGUGCCGUAACUGACGGUGAGGAGGGAAAGGGUGGGGAGCAAACAAGCUUAGAUACCCUGGUAGUCCACCCCGUAAACGUUGGGAACUAGUUGUGGGGUCCAUUCCACGGAUUCCGUGACGCAGAAAACGCAUUAAGUUCCCCGCCUGGGGAGUACGGCCGCAAGGCUAAAACUCAAAGGAAUUGACGGGGACCCGCACAAGCGGCGGAGCAUGCGGAUUAAUUUGAUGCAACGCGAAGAACCUUACCAAGGCUUGACAUAUACGAGAACGGGCCAGAAAUGGUCAACUCUUUGGACACUCGUAAACAGGUGGUGCAUGGUUGUCGUCAGCUCGUGUCGUGAGAUGUUGGGUUAAGUCCCGCAACGAGCGCAACCCUCCUUGUAUGUUGCCAGCACGUAAUGGUGGGAACUCAUGGGAUACUGCCGGGGUCAACUCGGAGGAAGGUGGGGAUGACGUCAAAUCAUCAUGCCCCUUAUGUCUUGGGGUUCACGCAUGUUACAAUGGCCGGUACAAAGGGCUGCAAUACCGCGAGGGGGAGAGAAUCCCAAAAAGCCGGUCCCAGUUCGGAUUGAGGUCUGCAACUUGACCUCAUGAAGUCGGAGUCGGUAGUAAUCGCAGAUCAGCAACGCUGCGGUGAAUACGUUCCCGGGUCCUUGUACACACCGCCCGUCAAGUCAUGAAAAUCGGUAACACCUGAAGCCGGUGGCGUAACCCUUGUGGAGGGAGCCGUCGAAGGUGGGAUCAGGUAAUUAGGACUAAGUCGUAAUCAACGA
rnacentral:rRNA from 1 species